rnacentral:rRNA from 1 species
CCUACGGGAGGCAGCAGUGCGGGAUAUUGGUCAAUGGGGGAAACCCUGAACCAGCAACGCCGCGUGAGGGAAGACGGUUUUCGGAUUGUAAACCUCUGUCCUCUGUGAGGAUAAUGACGGUAGCAAAGGAGGAAGCUCUGGCUAACUACGUGCCAGCAGCCGCGGUAAUACGUAGGGAGCAAGCGUUGUCCGGAUUUACUGGGUGUAAAGGGUGCGUAGGCGGCCUUUCAAGUCAGACGUGAAAUCCAUGGGCUUAACCCGUGAACUGCUUUUGAAACUGUAGGGCUUGAGUGAAGUAGAGGCGGGUGGAAUUCCAGGUGUAGCGGUGAAAUGCGGAGAGAUCUGGAGGAACACCAGUGGCGAAGGCGGCCUGCUGGGCAUAAACUGACGCUCAAGCACGAAAGCGUGGGUAGCAAACAGGAUUAGAUACCCCGGUAGUC